GACGAGGGGUCCAAGCGUUGUUCGGAAUCAUUGGGCGUAAAGCGGGUGUAGGUGGCUCUAUAAGUCAGAAGUGAAAGCCCCGAGCUUAACUCGGGAAGUGCUUUUGAUACUGCAGAGCUUGAAUGUGGGAGAGGGUAGUGGAAUUCCAGGUGUAGUGGUGAAAUACGUAGAUAUCUGGAGGAACACCAGUGGCGAAGGCGACUACCUGGCCGUGUUCUUGACGCUGAGGCGCGAAAGCUAGGGAGCAAACGGG
rnacentral:rRNA from 1 species